rnacentral:ncRNA from 1 species
UUUCUUAAAUAUAUAUUAUUUUUUAUCUGACUGAAAAUAUAAUUAAAACAUAGUUGUCCAGAGUUAUUUGAUAAAAUUAUAAUUACUUGAAUUAAUAUAAUUAUUUGAAAUUAUAGUAAAGGUUAUGUUAAGAAAAUUAUCAAAAGUUUGCAAAGAUAGAUUUUGCAACAUUAGAUAAUUUUGCAUUUCUGAAUGCAAAGUCUGUAGAAUUUAUGCAUUCAGAAAUUGCUAUAAUUUUUAAAAAUAGGAUGGGAAAUCAGGUUCGAUUCCGGAGAGGGAGCCUGAGAAAUGGCUACAUCCAAGGAAGGCAGCAAGCGGGCAAAUUACCCACUCCCAUAACAGGGAAGUAGUGACGAAAAAUAACAGUAUGGGAUUCUUUUAAUACCCCGUAAUUGGAAUGAGUACGAUUUAAAUCCUUUAACGAGGAUGAAUUGGAGAGUAGGUCUAGUGCCAGCAGCCGUGGUAAUUGCAGCUCCAAU